rnacentral:lncRNA from 1 species
UCAGAGAUUCGAACACUGGGUCAUGUGGAGAUAGGUGAGCGAUUCAGGACCAUCAUGGUCCUCUUGUUGUAUAUUAUAUGUAGAGUAAAUCAGAAAUAUUGCUUCAUUUAAAAACAGUUUCUCUGUAGCACUUUGACCAAGACUUUUGGAGACAAGUGUAUUAUUUCAUGCAUCACAAAACCCUUUCACAUAAUGCAGUGUUAAAGCACUAUGUUUAUAAAGUGUUUGUAGGUUUGAAAUCCAGCAAAGCUGUUAAACAUUUUGUCAUAUACUUUUCAAAUUAGCUUACUGAAACCUUUAAUUAGUAUUAUAUGGCAAGAUUAUUUACAGUGUACAUUAUGCUGGCAGAUUUUGAAUUGCUUUUCUGACCAGAUAUUAUAUAUACCAUGGGCUGAAAAUAUACUUGUAAAUUCAUCAUAAUGGUUGCUUUUUACAAAAAAAAAAAAGAGAGAACCUUUUUCAAUUGUAUAAGAAUGAAAAUAUUUUUGGUUGUGUAAGAGUUAAGAUUAUUGUAUGGUGUUGACUACAAAGGUUUAAAUGCUUCCAGACGUUUCUUUUUUUUUUAUUAUCAAAUAUCAAAGUUUCUUUAUUUAAAAGUUUUGAAGCUGAAAUAUAAGUUUUAGCAUUGUUACAUUUUUAGGACCAAAGGCACAAUUGUGACUAUGGACCCAAUCCUAUAUUGAUAUAAUCAUAAGGUUGGACAGAGAACAGGAAGUGCAUCUCCCAGCACACGGUCCCCGGCUACAACCCCAACUAAGAAAAAUAGACAUAUAGAAAUGUCACCACACAGGGGAACCAGGCCUCUUUCCACCAAUCAGAACAGUUCAAGUGCAGCUUUGCCCAAUUAUCAUUCACCAGAUAGUGCAAUCAGUUCAAUUACUAGUUUGUCUCUUUCAAAUGUGAACAGAUCUCCAAGUAAAUUAACAAGUCCUUCAGGAAAUGACAGUAUGUCUGAACACGUCAGUAGAGUUCGGACACCAGCUUUUGGCAGAUCGGAUAUCUGGACAGAAUUGUGAUAUGUACUGUACAAAUUGUAAAUGUUGUCUAGUACUUUUGUAUUUAUUUUGUAUAUAAAGAAGCAGUUGUUUGUUGAUAUAAGAAUUUUGGACAGAUGUCUUCAAACAGUAUAGCAUACACAUGUCCCUGGUAUUUCUCACUAGUGUUCUUUAUGGUUUUGGUGGUGCACUAAAUCAAAGCUUCAGAAAACUGACAGGGCAGUGAAAUUUUUUCUGUUUUGAUCAUGUAGAGAAAAUGGUAUACUUACUAUACUUUUGAUAAAUGAUAUAAAAACUUUCUCCAAUAUUUUAAGGUGGAGAAGUAUAUAUCAUAUAUGGUCUCUGUUCAGAUAGAAAAAGCACAACAAAAAAGGUCUGAAUGAAUGCCCCUGAAAUCUGCCAAGUUUAGUAAUUUGAAAAGGUUAUCUUUUUCAGUAAUGAUCCUUUUUCAAAAUUUCAAUAGUAAAGGAUUAAAAUAGAGUUUUCAACUGAAAUACCUGUUGAAAAACAGCAUUAAACCCAAAACAAAGGAAUGAAUUACAUUUUCUGUCUCUUCAGUUGGAGGUCAUUUAAGUUUUAAUGGCAUUAACUUAAAAUUUUACUUCUUAAGGCAUAUAACAAUAUAUUCUUUAUUAUACUUGUUCAUUUAGCCAGGAAAAAUUCAGUUGUGUUCAUUUGUGCUGUCCAGGACAUAAUAAUUGCACAUCCAAUAAAUUUAUAGAGAUCCUGCAAAAGAGAUAUGUGGGAAUUUCUUUUAUUCAUCAAUGCAUGCAUGCACUUUUACGUUUUUUAAUUUUUGUAAUGUUUGCAAUAAAUUUCUAUUUAUAAUGUGAAAAUACAAACCUUGAAAAACAA